ensembl:lncRNA novel transcript
UUCUUGCCGUGAUGGCCGCCGCCGAGGCAGGGAGUUGAGGGUUUCUGCCUUUCGGAGGGUUUGGGGGGCUGUCGGUCCCGUUAGAAGGCCACCAACAGCCCCCCAGGUUGCCAAGGGCCUGUUAGUUGUGUUCCUGGAAGGUGGGCAAGCAGCCUGAUGGGUUAACAUUGGGAUUUGCCGUCGUUAUAGCGGUCAAGGGGCCUGUAGCGGCUGCAGGGUCGGUGAGGGUUCCCAGCCGGCCGGACCUUGGUCGUCUGGCAUUCUGCCUUUGAAAUAUCUGGGUGGCCGGCGCCUAGGCAUAUGGGGUUGUGCUUUCUGUGUUGUGGUUUGUAGCUUGCAUCCUCCACUGUUCUUAGCGCAUUUGGCUCUGUCCAUAUGGCUGUUGGUACUCAUGGCCCUAUUUGGGGUUGGACUGGGCUCUUUUUCUUGGGUCUGGUGGGAUUUAAGCAAGAACUGGAAUUUUGUAAGAUGUACAGCAGUGUCCUGGGUGUUGUCUGUCUGGUGUGGGGUGUGAGCAGUUGCAGGAGUUAUGAACGUGUCCAUGAUCGUGUGGUUGGCUUUCCCUUGCAUGUGGUGAACUUUCCCCUCGUUUGCUAAUGCUGAAAGGCAGUGUCAGGCAGUUCCUACUUGUGAAAUGCCUUCUUAUUAACUUGGAUGUGUUCCUAAAUCUUGGGAGCUUUGCAAUUGCUUGUAGAAAGAUAUGUGUGCAAAACUGAAUUUAAAACGAGCACCAGGGUUGCAGGUACCUUUAGUUCUAGGGAGCCAGCUCCCCCAGGCUUCCCUGGUGCUGUGAAGUUGUUUGAGUUUAUUUAUGGAAAUUAGGUUUGCUUUGAGCUGUGUUACCUUACUCUUGGCUCAGAGUUUCUCUGCAUGUUGGGACCCUGAUCUUUGAUAUUGGGUACUGUUUCAACAUUUGAGGCUAAAUGAAGCACCGUGUACUGAUGUGUAAUGUCGUGUAUCACAAUCUCAGGAUAACACUAGAUAGCCAAGAAUGGCAGUACCUGUUUUGUCUGUCUACACGAAUUGGACCUCAUUGUUUCUGCCACAAUGUACUGCUCCAUAAAUUCCGCCUUAUUUCCAUGGUAUUGUCUGUAAGUUUUGAAAUCUAACUGGUCAUGAAAAGCCAUUUUUCAGGCAGUAUUUAAAAGCUUUUUCCCACAAGUAGAACUGGUAUCUAAAACAUUUUUUCAUUCAAGUUUGGUAAGGUGGGAGAUUUGAAAUAAGGUACAACAGUGGUUUUGGAAAUCAGCUAUCAAGUUUUAGUUUUAGGGGCCACCACGUGACAGAAAUGAUUUAUAGAGAGAGUAAAAAUUGUAUUCCAUUUCUCUUGGUAUUUUAGUGCAUAUAAAAACUAAAUAAACCACUUUCAUAUAUCAUUAAAAAGCCCUUUGUGUCUUGUGAUGAAUGAGGUUUUUAUAACUCCCCUAUUGUCUGGGUUUGCUUAGAAUAUAGUAAUGGGGCCGGGCAUGGUGGCUCACGCCUGUAAUCCCAACACUUAGGGAGGCCAAGGCCAGGGGAUCACUUGAGGUCAGGAGUUUGAGACCAGCCUGGCCAACAUGGUGAAACCCCAUCUCUACUAAAAAUACAAAAAACUUAGCUGGGUGUGGUGGCAUACGCCUAUAAUCUCAGCUACUCAGAAGGCUGAGGUGGGAGAAUCACUUGAACCCAGGAGGUGGAGAUAUCAGUGAACGGAGAUUGUGCCACUGCACUCCAGCCUGGGCAACAGAGUGAGACCCUGUCUCAAAAAAAAAAAAAAAAUUAGCUGGGUGUUGUGGCAGGUGCCUGUAGUCCGGCUACUCUGGAGGCUGAGGCAGGAGAAUCGGCUUGAACCUGGGAGGUGGAGGCGGCAGUGAGCCAAGAUCACUUCACUGUACUCCACCCCUCCAACCUGGGCAACAGAGUGAGACUGCAUCUCAAAAAAUAUAUGUAUAGUAAUGGUAGAGAAAGCAGCAAAGCUGGCUGGGUAUGUACAUGUGAUUCUGUUGAAACUGAUUUCAGGUAUGGAUUGAUAGGCUAAUAUUGUUGGGUUGCUAGUCAGAUCUCAGGAAAGUAUUUCCUUCCCUCUAACCUGACCUAAGUGUGUCUUAGAAUGUUAACUAACUUGACAAUUGAAUAAAAAAGAUUGAGAAAUUUAUUUUUAAAUGAUCCAUAUUGUCCAUAUUUGUUACUGUUUGGUGAUGUGGUCAAAUACUAUUGUUCUGGUGAAUUGGUUUUGUAUCUUAGGAAGACCGGAUGGCUAGACUUUGUAGAUGUGUAGAAUCAUUUAGAAUGAACCACAGCCACAGUGCCCAUUUGCCUUGAAAGAAGAUACAUGAAUUUUUAAUUGACAAGUUACCUCUGGCUUGAGUUAAACAGAACAAAUAGUUCAUUAGAGGGUGCUUUGAAUGGACUUUGAGAGUGGAAAGAAGGUGGAGUCUUUUCACUUCCUUGAAUCUGAGUGGAUCCUUCGACUGUUUUGACCAAGACUAUGUGGUAGAAGCGAAGUUCCAGUUCCAGGUAUUGCUCUUAUUUCACCUGACAAGUUUGGUUUCCUGCCUUUUGGAAGCUGACCACUAUGUUAGAAAUGUAAUCACCCUGAAAUCACUAUGUCGUGAGAAACCCAAAGGCAAGUGAAGAAGCCCUGGAGGAUGCGACAUCAAGUGUAGAGGCAAAAGAGCACCAAGGAAGAGGCCAAAGAACACUAAGUGAAGAAGCCAUUUUGAAAAUGGAUCCUCCAGCCCCAGCUGCCCUAGUUGUUACGUAAAUCAGAUAAAUUGCCCAGUGGUACCCUUCCCAAUUUCUGCCCCAUAAAAUCAUGAGCCAAAUAAAAUGGUU